rnacentral:sRNA from 1 species
AACAUUACUGUUAAUAUAAAUCAAUAUUUAUUUAAUCUAUAAAGUAGAUUGUUAAUACAUUAAUAGUUUGCAUUGUAUAAAUAAAGAAAAUUAAGCUAAGAUGAGACUUUUCAUGAUAUAAUCCGAACUUAUGAUAUAUGUGUAUCAAGUGUAAGGUUUAAAUCCAAAUCUGUAAAAAGUAGCAGGCGAUGCAUGUUGAGUUAAUUUUCAUCACAUUGGUUGUUUAACAAUUAGCACAAUUUUCAAUCCACCCUUUCACUGCCCCUCGCCGUCACGCGUCUUCGCAAUCCAAGGUCGCUCCUGUUCCGUACGCCGGAGCUCAUGCUUCGACACUCCCUCAAGGGCGACGAGCUUGUAAGGAUUGAACCGCCGAGUGCGGCGAUCUUGUCCACCGUCAAUCAACGCGCACCACUUCUCCCUUUUUCGAUUGUUCCUUCUUUUAUUUGCAAAAGGGGUUGUUAUAAAUGUAGUUUGAGAUGAUGGAGGUUGAAGGAGAUGAUGGGCGCUUGCAAUUACCGCAAUCGUGAUUCGGAUGAUAGGAUUAGGGUUCAUUCGCGAUUAGGGUUUGAGUGGAACAGAUGAUGGUGCAGUGGUUGCUGGUGUAGGGAUUGAGGUUCUCGGACGACCGAAUCGGAGAGAGGCAAGGUUGGGGGAAGAGAUUGAGAUGGCGCCCCCAGACAGCCUUGAAGAUCGAAUUACCGGUGUGUUGGAGUCAUGGAAUUUGGGAAUGUUGAGUUGACGAAGGAGUCCCAAAAUGAUUAACCUAUCUUUUGGUGAAAGAAUGGUCUUGGGAUGAAAUGAGGAACAUGACUUGAUAUCUUCUGGGUGGAGAAUUUGGAACCGUGGAAGACCGAAUUCGAGUCUCUAUUAGUACUGAGAAGGAUUAAGAAGAGACUUAAAGGAUUAUGCAACAAGCUCUAGGGAAAGAGCUGAGGAGUUCGACAUCUCUUUGUCAAAAUGGGAAUGAUGAACCAGGUCUCUCCCACUCACUGGGUUAUUUAGGAGAAGAGUGAAUCUGGGUUUCUAGUGUCACGCUGCUCUAUCUUUGCCGGAGGCUGCAGAUUUCGUUGUUACUCAGGUUGAUCGAAAAUUUUAGUUUGCUAGGGAGAAAACCUAUUUUGGAUUCUAUUUUGUAUGAAAGAAUUGAAUCAUGAGUUUCAUCUAUGUUGUAAAUGUUUUAACUUUGCGUAAGAUGUUGUUAAAUAAUGUUCUGUCUUGAUGAUCUUACAAGGGAGAUUAUGAUUGAGGUUUACUGAUGAAUGAAAUAAAACUUAUUCAAGCCAAAG